rnacentral:misc_RNA from 1 species
AUUGGGACGUCAUCCACCAAGAACCUGAAUAACAAAAAUAAUAAAAUUAUCAAUGAUUUAGAUUUAUCAUAUACAAUUGCUCUACAUAUAAACAAAAUCUCGAAAUCGAAUCCAGUCAACUUGGACAAAAGAAAGUAAUGCAGUGACCAGCUCAAAAGUAGUGUCGGUGUAAUCCAGUGGUCAUAAUAGGAAACAGCACUCUCGUGAGAAAGAAAGUAACCUAAUUUCGUCCAGUUUCAAAGCAUAGUCCUAUGUUGUUGGUUGAUUUAUUUCAAACUAGUUGGACCUAGCCCAAAUCAAAUUAUCAUGCAUCCAUGUGUGUUACAGUUGAUUCACAUGGCCACUCCUUGACAACCGCAUUAAUUGGCCUCCAAUGUGCCGUGAUUUUAUAAUUAAUCAGGGAAUUGGUGCAAUAUUUCAAUUUAUAUUUUUUUAUUAAUUAUUUUAUAUUUUAUUAAUUAAAUAUUAUUUCAUAUUUUUUAUA